rnacentral:rRNA from 1 species
UAAGGAAUAUUGGUCAAUGGACGCAAGUCUGAACCAGCCAUGCCGCGUGGAGGAUGAAGGUCCUCUGGAUUGUAAACUUCUUUUAUCUGGGAAGAAAUCACUUUUUUCUAAAGGUGUUGACGGUACCAGAUGAAUAAGCACCGGCUAACUCCGUGCCAGCAGCCGCGGUAAUACGGAGGGUGCAAGCGUUAUCCGGAUUCACUGGGUUUAAAGGGUGCGUAGGCGGAAUGGUAAGUCCGUGGUGAAAUCUCCGAGCUUAACUCGGAAACUGCCGUGGAUACUAUCAAUCUUGAAUGUUGUGGAGGUUUGCGGAAUAUGUCAUGUAGCGGUGAAAUGCUUAGAUAUGACAUAGAACACCGAUUGCGAAGGCAGCAGGCUACACAAAUAUUGACGCUGAGGCACGAAAGCGUGGGGAUCAAACA